rnacentral:rRNA from 1 species
GUACACGCUGUGACUAGCAUAUCAAUAAGCGGAGGAAAAGAAACUAACAAGGAUUCCCCUAGUGACGGCGAGUGAAGCGGGAAGAGCUCAAAUUUGAAAUCUUAAAGGGUUUCCCUUUACGAAUUGUAGUUUAAAGAAGUGUUUUCUGUUGAGGUUUUGGUAAAAGUUCUUUGGAAUAGGACAUCAUAGAGGGUGAGAAUCCCGUAUUUGACCUUUACUUUCAACUUUGUGAUACACUUUCAAAGAGUCGGAUUGUUUGGGAAUGCAGUCCAAAAUGGGUGGUAAAUUUCAUCUAAAGCUAAAUAUUGGCGAGAGACCGAUAGCGAACAAGUACCGUGAGGGAAAGAUGAAAAGAACUUUGAAAAGAGAGUUAAACAGUACGUGAAAUUGUCAAAAGGGAAGCGUUUGACACCAGUGUUGUUUUUCUGAAAAUCAAUUAAAGAACUGUUUAUGCUAAGCUGUUUAGACUUUAUCAGCUAUCUGCUUAGUUUUGAGCUUUUCUUUAAUGCACUUUUCAGUUAACAAGUCAACAUCAAUUUCUUUUGCUGUAAAAAAGCUUGAGGAAGGUGGCUUGAGAUUCGUCUUAAGUGUUUAUAGCCUCUUGCCUAUGCAGUCGGAGAGAUUGAGAUCUGCAGCGUAGAUCCUUCGGGGCUAAAUGCAUUUGUGCUAAGUUAUAGCAUUUUAUAGACAACUUGUUGACUAUGAUUUGUCUUGUAGCUUACUCGCUUAUGUUAUUUUACCUACGCUUAUGAUGUUGAUCUACAGAGCGAGAG